rnacentral:rRNA from 1 species
GAACUCUGCAAACGUUAUUCGGAAUCACUGGGCUUAAAGAGUCCGUAGGCGGCGCGUUAGGUGGGGUGUGAAAUCCCUCGGCUCAACCGAGGAAUGGCGCUCCAAACCGGCGUGCUUGAGGAAGGUAGAGGUGAGCGGAACUGAUGGUGGAGCGGUGAAAUGCGUUGAUAUCAUCAGGAACACCGGAGGCGAAGGCGGCUCACUGGGCCUUUUCUGACGCUGAGGGACGAAAGCCAGGGUAGCGAACGGGAUUAGAUACCCCGGUAGUCCUGGCUGUAAACGAUGAGCACUAGGUCGGGGACCUCCCACAGGUCCCUGGCCGUAGCGAAAGUGUUAAGUGCUCCGCCUGGGGAGUAUGGUCGCAAGGCUGAA